rnacentral:rRNA from 1 species
AGUGAACGCUGGCGGUAGGCCUAACACAUGCAAGUCGAACGGCAGCACAGUAAGAGCUUGCUCUUACGGGUGGCGAGUGGCGGACGGGUGAGGAAUACAUCGGAAUCUACUUUUUCGUGGGGGAUAACGUAGGGAAACUUACGCUAAUACCGCAUACGACCUACGGGUGAAAGCAGGGGAUCUUCGGACCUUGCGCGAUUGAAUGAGCCGAUGUCGGAUUAGCUAGUUGGCGGGGUAAAGGCCCACCAAGGCGGCGAUCCGUAGCUGGUCUGAGAGGAUGAUCAGCCACACUGGAACUGAGACACGGUCCAGACUCCUGCGGGAGGCAGCAGUGGGGAAUAUUAGGCAAUGGGGGCAAGCCUGAUCCAGCCAUACCGCGUGGGUGAAGAAGGCCUUCGGGUUGUAAAGCCCUUUUGUUGGGAAAGAAAAGCAGCAGGUUAAUACCCCGCUGUUCUGACGGUACCCGAAGAAUAAGCACCGGCUAACUUCGUG